UGAUUUUUUGAUUAAUAAUAAAAUAUUAAGAACAUCAAUAAAAGAUUUUUUAGAAAAUAAUAAUAUGUUUUCAGAAACUGUUAUAGAAAUUGAAUAUAUUAAAUCAAUAACAAAAAAAAAAACAAAUAAAAUUGAUGACGUUACUAAAUGGGUAUCUAAUUUAAUUAUAUUUGACAAUACAUUAUAUUGUAAUACUUUCCAAGGUACUUUGUUAUAUUACGAUUUAAAUAAAUUUAAAAAGAUACAUGAAAAUAUAGUAACAAGUAUGACUUUGUUUGCUUAUAAUGUAUGUAAAAAUAAUAAACUCAAUAAUUAUAAUAAUAAUAAUAAUAAUAAUAAUAAUAAUAGUAACAGUGAUGGUAACAGUGAUAGUAAUAAGCCAGACUAUCACGAAUCAGUUAUCGGUUUAUCAAAUGGAACAAUGAAAGUAUUUUUAUAUAAAGAGAAUAAUAAUAACGGUGAAAUAAAAAAAGAAAAUGAAAUUUAUUUGGGUAAUCAUAAUGAUAUGAUUAAGGCGAUUGAAUUUAAUAAGAGCGGAUCACUUUUAAUAAGUAGUGGAGCUGACGAAAAAAUAAAUAUAUAUGAUAAUAAUUAUAUUAUAGAACAACUUGUUCAUAUGAAUUCGAUAAAUAAAAACAUUGUUGAUGAUGAUGGUAGUAGUAGUAGUAGUAGUAGUAGUAAUAAUGCCAAAAAGAGUAAUAACAACAAGAGGAAAAUUCAAAAUAUAAUUAUGCCUAAAAAGUGCAUAAACAACGAGGUUGGAAUUAUAACAAACUUAAAAUUUUUUAACGAUAAUAAUAAAUUUGUAUGUACAGGGUUAAGUAAUAAUAUAAAUAUAUAUGAUGCAUUACAUUGUAAUACAUCAAACUCCUUUUCAUAUAAAAAAUCUAUAAUGUGUAUUGAUAUUAUAAAUGAUAAUCUGUUUAUAUUAGCUGAUGAACAAUCGAUUAUUAAAUUAUUAGACAUUAGGUGUAUGAACAAUCAUAAUAGUAUUUCUUUGAAUGAAGGAAAAUAUUAUUUUCAUGAUAAAAUUAUAACAUCUCUCAAAGCUAAUAAAAAUGAAACAUAUUUUUUAUCAGCAUCACACGAUGGAUAUAUAAAUAUUUAUGAUAUUAGAUUAAAUAAAUUACCUGUUUAUACUGUUCAAAAUGAAAAAAAAGCAAAAAUAUUAGGUGCUACAUGGUUUUAUAAUAAAAAUUACCAACAUUCGAUUGUCAGUGCUGAUGAAUAUAACUUGAGUGUUCAUAAUUUUUAAUUGGUACGUGCACAACAUGCGUUUAUACAUGCUUAGAAUAUAUAACUGUAUAUGUGUCUUUGUGAUGAUAAGAAUACGUUGGAUAAGCAACACUUUAUGUCUUCCAUCUUGUUUUAAAA
rnacentral:lncRNA from 1 species